GCUUUAUACAUUAUAAAGUGAUCCAAUCGUAUUCUAUUUGUUAAUAUAAGAAACAUAAAAUAUGGAUAAAACUCUGAAAUUUAUGUAUUAUAUGGUUUUAGUUCUUUCUCCAUUUCUUGUUACAAAAGAGCUUGACACAUAUUUUGAAUGUGAAAUUGAUGAUGAUUGUCCGCAUAUUUUCAACUUGUAUCCUUUUUUUUAUCGGUGUAUUAAUCACCGAUGUGAACUUUUUAGAUUGGUGUAACUUUUUGAUUGAGUAUAAGACCAAACAAAUCUCCAACAAGGAAGAAUACAUUUCUGCACUAGCAAAUAAAUUUUUAUGCAAUAUACUUUAUGCUAGAAUGUUUCAUGGGGUUUCAAUUAAUUUUGUGUUGGAACCCAACAAUUUUCUUUUCCUUUUGUAAGUUCAUUCACCUUGCAAUUGUGGAUUUGUACUCUUAAGAUGUUUGCAAUAAAAUGAAAUAAGACAGUAAAGCAUAUUAAAACUAGAA